rnacentral:piRNA from 1 species
UGGUAGACUUUGUGAGCAACCUGCACUAAA